AGCCGGCCGCGCCGCGGGGGAAGGAGUUUCCGGCGGACUCGGCUGGGUGCCGCUUCCUGUCCCCUUCUCCGUGCUGCCUCACGGUGCCUGCCCGGGACGCCGCUGGACCCCCGAGUCCCCUCGCCGUCCCCGACAGCGCCCCCGGCCCCAUGCAAUCCCGGCUCCUACUCCUCGGGGCACCCGGAGGCCACGGAGGCCCGGCCUCGCGGCGCAUGCGGCUGCUCCUGCGGCAGGUGGUGCAGCGCAGGCCGGGUGGCGACAGGCAGCGGCCGGAGGUCAGACUGUUGCACGCAGGCUCGGGCGCCGACACAGGUGAUACAGUUAAUAUUGGAGAUGUAUCCUACAAGUUGAAAAUUCCUAAGAAUCCAGAACUUGUGCCACAGAACUACAUUUCGGACUCUCUGGCUCAAUCUGUAGUUCAGCAUCUAAGAUGGAUAAUGCAGAAGGAUCUUUUGGGGCAAGAUGUUUUUCUGAUAGGACCUCCUGGGCCUCUUCGACGCUCUAUUGCUAUGCAGUACUUGGAGCUGACCAAACGGGAGGUCGAAUACAUUGCCCUGUCAAGGGACACCACUGAAACUGAUCUCAAACAGCGACGAGAGAUCCGUGCAGGCACAGCCUUUUACAUUGAUCAGUGUGCAGUUCGUGCAGCCACAGAAGGCAGAACUCUCAUUUUGGAAGGUUUGGAAAAGGCAGAGAGGAAUGUUUUGCCUGUUUUGAACAACUUGCUGGAAAACAGAGAGAUGCAGCUUGAAGAUGGACGCUUCCUGAUGUCUGCUGAGCGUUACGACAAACUUCUCCGAGAUCAUACCAAAAAAGAGUUGGAUUCUUGGAAAAUUGUCCGAGUUAGUGAAAAUUUCCGAGUGAUUGCCUUGGGCUUGCCAGUGCCAAGGUAUUCUGGGAAUCCAUUAGACCCCCCUCUUCGUUCUCGAUUUCAAGCCAGGGAUAUUUAUUAUUUACCCUUCAAGGACCAACUUAAGUUGUUAUAUUCAAUUGGAGCCAAUGUUUCUGCUGAGAAAGUUUCUCAGCUCUUGUCCUUUGCCACAACUCUGUGUUCCCAAGAAUCUUCUACUCUUGGACUUCCAGACUUUCCUUUAGAUAGUUUAGCAGCUGCGGUUCAAAUCUUGGAUUCCUUUCCUAUGAUGCCAAUCAAACAUGCAAUCCAGUGGCUUUAUCCAUAUAGUAUUUUACUAGGUCAUGAAGGGAAGAUGGCUGUGGAAGGUGUUUUAAAGCGCUUUGAACUUCAAGAUUCAGGAAGCUCUCUACUUCCUAAAGAGAUUGUAAAAGUAGAGAAGAUGAUGGAAAACCAUGUGUCCCAAGCUUCUGUGACCAUCCGGAUUGCAGAUAAAGAGGUGACCAUUAAGGUGCCAGCCGGGACCAGGCUAUUAAGUCAACCUUGUGCGUCAGACUGUUUCAUACAGACUUUGAGCCAUAAGCAGCUACAGGCUGAAAUGAUGCAGUCUCACAUGGUUAAAGAUAUAUGUUUAGUUGGAGGAAAGGGUUGUGGAAAAACAGUGAUCGCUAAGAACUUUGCCGAUACCUUAGGAUACAACAUAGAACCUAUUAUGCUCUAUCAGGAUAUGACAGCGCGUGAUCUGCUACAGCAGAGAUACACCCUUCCAAAUGGAGACACUGCCUGGCGGUCCUCACCCCUUGUGAAUGCUGCUCUGGAAGGCAAGCUGGUCCUGCUGGAUGGCAUUCACCGGGUGAAUGCGGGCACGCUUGCUGUAUUGCAAAGGUUAAUCCAUGAUCGAGAGCUAAGCCUCUAUGAUGGUUCUAGGCUGCUGAGAGAAGACAGGUAUAUGCGUUUAAAGGAGGAGCUGCAACUGUCUGAUGAACAGCUACAGAAGAGAUCCAUUUUUCCUAUCCAUCCCUCCUUCAGAGUCAUUGCCUUGGCAGAACCCCCUGUUAUUGGAAGCACAGCACACCAGUGGCUGGGACCAGAAUUCUUAACCAUGUUCUUUUUCCAUUACAUGAAACCACUUGUGAAAAGUGAAGAAAUCCAAGUGAUUAAGGAAAAGGUCCCAAAUGUACCUCAGGAAGCUCUGGAUAAGUUAUUAUCAUUUACACACAAACUCAGAGAAACACAGGAUCCAACGGCACAAUCGUUAGCGGCAUCACUUUCUACCAGACAACUGUUGCGAAUUUCUCGUCGGCUGUCACAGUAUCCUAAUGAAAAUCUUCACAGUGCUGUUACUAAAGCCUGCCUUUCCAGGUUUUUACCCAGUCUUGCUAGGUCAGCAUUAGAAAAAAAUCUGGCAGAUGCUACAAUAGAAAUAAAUACUGAUGACAAUUUGGAGCCAGAACUGAAGGAUUACAAAUGUGAAGUAACAUCUGGAACUCUGAGGAUUGGUGCUGUUAGUGCACCGAUCUAUAAUGCACAUGAGAAAAUGAAAGUGCCUGAUGUUCUUUUCUAUGACAACAUUCAGCACGUGAUAGUGAUGGAAGAUAUGCUGAAAGACUUUCUCCUUGGAGAACACUUAUUAUUGGUUGGCAACCAGGGUGUAGGAAAAAACAAGAUUGUUGACAGAUUCCUUCACCUGCUCAACAGACCCCGAGAAUAUAUUCAGCUACACAGGGAUACCACAGUACAAACUCUUACGCUUCAGCCUUCGGUUAAAGACGGACUUAUUGUAUAUGAAGACUCACCUUUGGUUAAAGCAGUAAAGUUGGGUCAUAUUCUGGUAGUAGAUGAGGCUGACAAAGCUCCAACAAAUGUCACGUGUAUUUUAAAAACUCUAGUAGAAAAUGGAGAAAUGAUUCUAGCAGAUGGAAGACGCAUUGUUGCAAAUUCUGCUAAUGUGAAUGGAAGAGAAAAUGUUGUAGUGAUUCAUCCUGAUUUUAGGAUGAUUGUUCUGGCAAAUAGACCUGGAUUUCCUUUCCUAGGCAAUGAUUUCUUCGGUACCUUAGGUGAUAUUUUUAGCUGCCAUGCAGUUGAUAACCCCAAACCCCACUCGGAGCUCGAGAUGCUCAGACAGUAUGGACCAAAUGUGCCUGAGCCCAUCCUUCAGAAGCUUGUGGCUGCCUUUGGAGAGCUGAGGAGUUUGGCUGACCAAGGGAUUAUUAACUAUCCUUAUUCUACCAGAGAAGUUGUCAACAUAGUCAAACAUUUACAGAAAUUUCCCACUGAAGGUCUCUCCAGUGUAGUUCGAAAUGUGUUUGACUUUGAUUCCUACAACAAUGACAUGAGGGAGAUAUUGAUUAACACUUUACACAAAUACGGGAUACCUAUCGGAGCAAAGCCUACCAGUGUGCAGCUGGCAAAGGAGUUGCCUCUGCCAGAACAAACGUUCAUGGGCUACUGGACAAUUGGUCAGGCAAGAAGUGGGAUGCAAAAACUCUUGUGUCCAGUGGAAACUCAUCAUAUAGACAUAAAGGGUCCAGCACUUAUAAAUAUACAAGAGUAUCCAAUAGAAAGACAUGAAGAAAGAUCCCUAAACUUUACUGAAGAAUGUGCCUCAUGGAGAAUACCAUUGGAUGAAAUUAAUAUAAUCUGUGACAUUGCUACAUCUCAUGAAAAUGAGCAAAAUACUCUCUAUGUAGUUACAUGCAAUCCCGCUUCCCUGUACUUUAUGAAUAUGACUGGGAAAAGUGGCUUCUUUGUGGACUUUUUUGAUAUCUUCCCAAGAACAACCAAUGGCGUUUGGCACCCUUUUGUGACAGUGGCACCGCUGGGAAGUCCUCUCAAAGGUCAAGUGGUUCUCCAUGAGCAGCAGAGUGAUGUUAUCCUGUUGUUAGAUACUACUGGCCGGGCCCUUCGUCGUCUCAUCCUCCCUUCUGAGAAGUUUACAACUAAGAAACCUUUCUGGUGGAACAAAGAAGAAGCUGAAACUUAUAAAAUGUGUAAAGAAUUUUCACACAAAAACUGGCUGGUGUUCUACAAAGAAAAAGGGAACAGCCUGACUGUGCUGGAUGUUCUAGAAGGGCGAACUCACACCAUCUCACUUCCCAUCAACCUCAAGACAGUUUUCCUUGUAGCAGAGGACAAAUGGCUUCUGGUGGAGAGCAAAACAAAUCAGAAAUAUCUUUUAACUAAGCCUGCACACAUCGAAUCUGAGGGUAGUGGGGUUUGCCAGUUGUAUGUGCUGAAAGAGGAGCUGCCCAGCACAGGGUUUGGAGUUACACAAGAAACAGAGUUCAGCAUACCUCAUAAAAUUUCCAGUGAUCAACUAUCAUCUGAACAUCUAAGUUCAGCUGUGGAACAAAAGAUUGCCUCUCCCAACAGAAUUCUCUCAGAUGAGAACAAUUAUGCUACAAUAGUUGUUGGUUUUCCAGAUCUCAUGUCACCCAGUGAAGUUUAUUCUUGGAAGAGACCAUCAUCUUUGCAUAAACGAAGUGGCACUGAUACAUCAUUCUAUAGAGGAAAGAAGAAAAGUGGGACUCCAAAACAAAGCAAUUGUGUGACUCUUUUAGAUACGAAUCAGGUAGUGAGGAUUUUACCCCCAGGAGAAGUCCCUCUAAAAGAUAUCUACCCAAAAGAUGUCACUCCUCCACAAACAUCUGGUUAUAUAGAAGUCACUGAUCUUCAAUCAAAGAAACUCCGAUAUAUCCCUAUUCCCAGAUCAGAAUCUCUCUCGCCGUAUACCACAUGGCUGUCAACCAUUUCAGACACAGAUGCACUGCUAGCUGAGUGGGACAAAAGCGGUGUUGUUACUGUUGAUAUGGGAGGUCACAUCAGGCUUUGGGAAACUGGACUUGAACGUCUGCAGCGAUCACUCAUGGAAUGGAGAAACAUGAUUGGACAAGAUGACAGAAAUAUUCAGAUAACAAUCAACAGAGACAGUGGUGAAGAUGUAAGCUCCCCCAAACACGGGAAGGAGGACCCAGACAACAUGCCUCACGUGGGCGGCAACACUUGGGCUGGCGGAACAGGGGGAAGAGACACGGCAGGCCUGGGUGGCAAAGGAGGCCCUUACCGGCUGGAUGCAGGCCAUACGGUGUACCAGGUCUCUCAGGCUGAGAAAGAUGCAGUUCCCGAAGAGGUCAAGAGAGCUGCUAGAGAGAUGGGCCAGAGAGCAUUCCAGCAGAGGCUAAAGGAGAUCCAAAUGAGUGAAUACGAUGCUGCAACCUAUGAAAGGUUUUCAGGUGCUGUUCGGCGACAGGUGCACUCCCUCCGAAUCAUCCUGGAUAAUUUACAGUGCUGGUUUUCCCAGUCUAGACUAGUCUGUGAGAGUCUGUCCUCAUCUAUGAAAGCCAUUAGAAUCCAGUGCUCUGCAGCUUGGUACCUCCAAGAGUUGUAGAAUGUGAAGACUGAAGGUACAUAAAUGGUCAUCCACAAUAGCAUUUCCCAGGAUAAAUUAUCCAGGAAGCCUGAGGAUUAUCCACACUAGAGAACAGAAAUGUUAGGAAAGAAGAGGCUAAAGGUAAAGAAAGACAAUGGCUAAGACAUCAAGCUACUGGAGAAUUAGAUGAUGCCAAGAUCAUUGAUGGGCUGACUGGAGAAAAAGCCAUCUACAAACGUCGGGGUGAGCUGGAGCCACAACUUGGCAGCCCACAACAGAAACCCAAGCGUCUGCGCCUGGUGGUGGAUGUGUCUGGUAGCAUGUACCGUUUCAACAGGAUGGAUGGCCGGCUUGAGCGCACAAUGGAGGCUGUGUGUAUGGUCAUGGAAGCCUUCGAGAACUAUGAGGAGAAGUUCCAGUAUGACAUCGUUGGACACUCUGGAGAUGGCUACAACAUUGGUCUGGUUCCAAUGAACAAAAUCCCCAAGGACAAUAAGCAAAGACUAGAAAUUCUGAAGACAAUGCAUGCCCACUCUCAGUUCUGCAUGAGUGGGGACCACACGUUAGAAGGGACAGAACAUGCCAUCAAGGAAAUUGUCAAAGAAGAAGCUGAUGAGUACUUUGUCAUAGUCUUGAGUGAUGCAAAUCUGUCACGAUAUGGAAUACAUCCUGCUAAGUUUGCUCAAAUCCUCACAAGAGACCCUCAAGUAAAUGCUUUUGCCAUUUUUAUUGGCUCUUUAGGUGAUCAAGCAACCAGGCUUCAGAGAACUUUACCAGCUGGUCGGUCUUUCGUUGCCAUGGAUACCAAGAAUAUCCCUCAGAUUUUACAACAGAUCUUCACCUCCACCAUGUUGUCGAGUGUCUAAGAAGUGCCCUUCAUCACCCUGAUGACACCAGGAUUUGAAAUAAGACAGGAAUAAAGAGUAUUCUGAAAAAAAGAAGAUACGGAUGAAGUGAACCCAUGCAGUGACUGGAUGAUUCCGGCAUUCCUGGGUCUUCCUACACUUGCUCAGUAAUGAGAAUUCAGAGAAGCAGCCAGAAGGAGACUUAAACAUGGAAAGAUACUCCACUGAUGAGUUUAGAAGUCAUUAGGGCAAGCUAGUUGACCUGCACUUUAUCAAAGGUUGGGGUUAAAGGAAGGUGGUUUUGAGAACUAUGUGUUUGGUCUGUUUCCAAAAACCUGAGGGGGAGAAAAUACUUUGCUUUUGCCUUAACACAUCAUCUGGUCACCUUAGAAAAGCGACCCCAUCAAACUGAGCCUUUGAUGUCACAUUCUGACACAAGAUGCAAGUCUGUGCAAAACCCACCAAAAUGCUCCUAUCCAACAAUUAUUUUUAUUUUCUCCCUGCUCUGUAUUGACCAGAAAACAAUGAUUUUAUAAUAUUUAACCCACCAAAAAGUCCCUCCAACAGCAAUAUCUUAUGAAAGGCUGGCUGUUCUCAAUAAUUUCAUUUUCUUGGCCAAAGCCAAAAGGAAUCAAAAAAUCCUUGGAGUGCUUGCCUUUCCAUGUGACUUUUAAAAGGCUCUUAAAGAGCAAAUGUCCUCUUCUCCUUGCUGCUAGAGUGGGAGGGGGAAGAUGUCUUGCCUUAGAAGUUUCCUGUUCCUUCUUUUCUUCUGGCAUCUCUCAAAAAAUUCACAGUACUCCAUUUUGGGGUCCAAACUGUAAUGCUCAAAAUAAUAAAUGCUUACACGAAAAUUAUUUAUUGAGAAUAUUCAUAUAAAAAUUACCUAAAGCAAAGUAAAAAAAGUAAAAUCAAGGUGGUAUAUUUGAAGUGAAUGGUGAUUGGAAAUUUUUAGCUGUAACAAAAAGAAAGAAAACAACUUUUUUUAAAGCCUCAUUCUCUUUUCUUUCAAAAUGUACCUCAUUCCCACACACUCUUGGGCUGAUCUUUAUCAAUAAUAGGCUCAAUAUUACUUUAAAAUAAGAUGCUUCAGCAAAAGUCAUUCUCUCUUUAACCAUAUAAUUUAAAAACUCCUCUUCACGAUUGAUAGCAAAAUCAGAAACGUUAGGGCACCAGUGAGUUGAAAAAACUGGUCUUAAGUUGGAAAAACUAUUAUUAAUAAUAAUAUCCUAUCCAUCCAUAUAUAUUGAAAUUGUACAGGUCCAUAAUUUAAUUUUAAUUAAUUAUAGGAAAGAAGAAAAGAUAAUACCCAUUUGUUCUAUCACCCCCUCUCCCUAUCAUUAACUAUCAAAUAAAUAAAAGCAAUCUGAUUUCCAGCACGGUA